rnacentral:tRNA from 1 species
GCGCUGUUAGCUCAGUUGGUAGAGCAGUGGCCUCUUAAGCCAACGGUCGGGGGUUCGAAUCCCUCACAGCGCA